rnacentral:tRNA from 1 species
CCUGGUGGCUCAGAUGGUAAAGCGUCUGCCUGCAAUGCAGGAGAGCCAGGUUCGAACCCUGGGUCAGGA